ACUUCAAAGAAACCUGUUGUGGGAAGCUUCAUUUUGAUUUUGUUCUGCCUUUUCUCUUACAGGACAAGCUAAAACACCUUUUUCUGGGCAGGCCUGAAACCAGGCAAAAUGGGAGGAAUAAAAUUGCCUUUCAAUACAUUUGAUGUGACCUUUUGCUUUAAUGAUAAGAGACCAUGAAACCAACCCUUGAAAACGGCAGACAAGCAGCACACUGAACCUUAAUCUAGCUAUGCAGUUAAAGAUACGGUUGAGAAUCGGGGCUGAGAGAUCCAACAUGACAUACAUCACAAUAUUCUGCAUUGACUACUUGCUAGGUUCAACUGCCUGAAGAUUGGGCAAGGCUGUCUUGCAGCAAUCUAUAAAGAUGCAAACACUUAAAACUCAUCCAAUUAAGACCGUUAGUCUAUCUAGACCAAUACUGUCUAUGUGUUAUGGCAACAACUCUCCUGAUUCUUAGGCAGCCAUCUUUUGUACUGUUCAUGCCUGAAUUCCAUGAAUGUCAUGAAUUCCAACUAGCAUAUUGUCAGGCUCAGCCCAAAAACAACAUAGAACAAUCUAGCCAAAGUUCAGUUCUUUAUUU